rnacentral:snRNA from 1 species
GAGAUUCAGCCCUUUGUCG